AUAAAACAGAUGUGUAGCCCUUGC
rnacentral:piRNA from 1 species